rnacentral:lncRNA from 1 species
UUGAAAUGCCCUAAUAGAUUUUCAGUUAGGGAUAGUUUAAUAGUAACUCACUCAACUCACUCAAACUAAGUUAGGUGAAAAGGGGAAUUUAUUGGACUAAUCCAGACGUAUUUCACAGAUCACAAAGGCAAGGAAUAUAGCUGGGCCUCAUGAGACACAAAGCCUACCAUCUAGAAAAUUAGGAACCACAGUUCGUCUCUUGAAAGCUUUGCUGUGAGCGUCUGCCUCGGUAUGUUCUCCUGUCUAUAAUUUUAUUCCCUGUCUGGACAGUGCCAAAUAAAGCUUAAUUAAAAUUCUGCAUUCCGAUUCCAAAUUUCUAAGGAAUCUUACUGGUCCAUUUUGGGUCAGGGCUAUGCCAGGAAAGGCUCAUGUUGUCCACAAACCUCUCACCUAGAACUGUGAGAACAGACUGUUGGGGUAUAUAAGUGAAAAGCAUUCAUUAAGAAGGGACAUGGGUGUAGGAAGAAGACAAAUGGCAUCUUUUGCUGUAUAAGGAAUUUUAUAAUCUGUAAAGAAUGCACAUGGUAUGAUGUUUCAAGUUGGGUUUUAUUUCGAAGUAAAAACAAAUAAGGAAGUGGCUAAAUAUUCUUGUUGAAUCAUUGUGGUCCCGACCUUCUUGGAGCUGGUAAAACGUGUUUGGAACAUUUUGCAAUUCAAGACCCUUUUGUCUCCUUAAUUCCAGUCAUAGGUGAUGAACACCCCAGCCUUGCCUCAAACAUGCUUCCACCAGUGCUUCCAUCACUUUGAAAAGGGGCAAUCAUGGAUACUUGUAUUGCAUCAUGGAAGAAUUCAGAAAGCAACCCGGGGAAGCUACAUGUGAACCACACACAGAUGAAGACCCUUCUCAAAGGAAUAACCAUAACCUGGGAGUUGCUGUUUAAAUUAUGGAUUCUAAACUCUAAGUUCUCUACUUUCUGCUGUACACCAAACACCAAACCAUCUUCCACAAAGAAUACUGCUGCAUGAACUCUCACCUGAGCACAAACAGGAGACAAUGCACCGUAUACUCUACAUCAUCAUCAGUUUCUCCCUUAAACUAAAAAUAUUCUUUAUUUGGAGGCAAGGAUGCCUGCAUUUUCACAAAAGUUGUAACAAAAUGUUAGGAGCAUGGGCUCUGGAAUUACAUUACACGUUCAUCACUUACCAGCUCUGUGAUGGUGGGAAAGCAAUGUAAACUCUCUAUACUGCACUAUCAUCCUCUGUAAAAUAGGGGUGAUCGUGAGUUUCCAUGGAUUUAUUUUAAUGAUUAAAUGUGUGGGUAAGGCAUGAAAUCCUAGGUUACAAUCCAAGUAUCCAAGUGAUGGAUACACUAAAAGUCCACACUUCACUCUGAUACAAAUAUCCAUGUAACACAACUGCACUCAUCUCACUAAAUAUAUUUUAAAACUUAAAAAAUUAAAAAUGUAUUUACACCCCCUCCCCACAAAGAGUUUGCUAUCAUAUCUCUGUGUAGCAUCAAUAUGUUUACUCUUUGUCAGAUACUAUCUUUCAAAUGCUUUACACAUUAAAGCAAUUAAUCCUCAUCUUUGCAUUAAUCUUUUCUUUUUCCCCAUUUGACAGAUGGGGAAACUAAGGGGCAGAGUAAUGAAGCAGGUUAUCUAUACUCACACAGCAGGUAAGUAAUGGAGGUAGAAUUUGAACCCAAAACCUGUGUUCCAGAGUCUGUGCUUCUUGGAAGGCUGGAUACUCCUUCUCCAUGAUUGUAAGCUUUUAUUAUCAUAAGGGGAGCAAGAAAUUCUCUUUUAGUCUUCACAUCUUGCCAUAUCAUCUCAACCGCUCUGGCCAUCUUUUAAGAGCUUCGUCAGUUCUUGUUUUGAAUACUGCAACAUCACUCAAACUUCUUACUCUGCCUGUAGGCUGAACCCCAUCUGAUGCAUUCUCCACAUUGCAGUCAGCAUGGUACAUAUUAAUAGUAUAAUCACUCAUUUUCCUCAUAACAAUGUUUCUGAGGUUAAUCAUCAUUUUCAAAAUACUGCCAUGAUCUGAGCCCCGCUUUCCUUUCCAACUUUAUCCCCUUCCACUUCCUUUCAGGUUAGACAUUUUGGAAAUCCAGAAUAUCUGAAAUUUCCUAAGUAUCCCAUGCAUUUUUUUUUAUGCUUUGAAGUAUUUUUUUCCCUGUUGAUUUGAUCAUGUUUUUAUGCAUGGCUAAAUCCUUUAUAUCCUUUAAACUCAUUGUAAGCAUCCUCUUCUACAGAGUGUUUUCUGGUAUCUUCAUUUGUACCUCCUGGAUUCUAGAUGUGAUUAUAUUCACAAUUACUAAGCAAGAAAGGUAUAGAAAGUAUUCUGAUUAAAAAAAAACUGCAGCCAAAGUCAUAUCAAUUACUAUGCAGAACUGUCCUAGGGGGUCAUGAUAUCAAACUUGCUUUGGGCAAAUAUUAAAGAGCAACUGAACCAAAUAUGGUCAGAAUUCCUGCUGGAGUAAUAGCAGUGCUGAGUGACCCUGGCUGUAGUUGCAUUCAUGUAUUAAGAAAUUUUUGUAUAACACUUUGUGAUCAGCAAAACUCAGUAGACGUUUUCC